rfam:Colletotrichum tofieldiae strain 0861 Ct_v4_contig93, whole genome shotgun sequence.
ACAUACGAACAUACCCAUUGGAAAACCCGGGAUCCCGUCCGCUCCCUCGUAGAUAAGCCAAUGAGGGGAGGCCGGAUCAGUAGUUGGGUCGGCGGCGACCAGCGAAUACCUGGUGUUGUACGUC